GACGAACGCUGGCGGCGUGCUUAACACAUGCAAGUCGAGCGGUAAGGCCCUUUCGGGGGUACACGAGCGGCGAACGGGUGAGUAACACGUGGGUGACCUGCCUUUAGCUCUGGGAUAAGCCUGGGAAACCGGGUCUAAUACCGGAUAUGACUCCGCGGCGCAUGUUGUGGGGUGGAAAGCCUUGUGCGGCUGGAGAUGGGCCCGCGGCCUAUCAGCUUGUUGGUGGGGUGAUGGCCUACCAAGGCGACGACGGGUAGCCGGCCUGAGAGGGCGACCGGCCACACUGGGACUGAGACAAGGCCCAGACUCCUACGGGAGGCAGCAGUGGGAAUCUUGCGCAAUGGGCGAAAGCCUGACGCAGCGACGCCGCGUGAGGGAUGACGGCCUCGG
rnacentral:rRNA from 1 species